rnacentral:rRNA from 1 species
GAUGAACGCUGGCGGCGUGCCUAAUACAUGCAAGUCGAGCGAACGGACGAGAAGCUUGCUUUUCUGAUGUUAGCGGCGGACGGGUGAGUAACACGUGGAUAACCUACCUAUAAGACUGGGAUAACUUCGGGAAACCGGAGCUAAUACCGGAUAAUAUUUUGAACCGCAUGGUUCAAAAGUGAAAGACGGUCUUGCUGUCACUUAUAGAUGGAUCCGCGCUGCAUUAGCUAGUUGGUAAGGUAACGGCUUACCAAGGCAACGAUGCAUAGCCGACCUGAGAGGGUGAUCGGCCAAACGGGAACUGAGACACGGUCCAGACUCCUACGGGAGGCAGCAGUAGGGAAUCUUCCGCAAUGGGCGAAAGCCUGACGGAGCAACGCCGCGUGAGUGAUGAAGGUCUUCGGAUCGUAAAACUCUGUUAUUAGGGAAGAACAUAUGUGUAAGUAACUGUGCACAUCUUGACGGUACCUAAUCAGAAAGCCACGGCUAACUACGU